rnacentral:snRNA from 15 species
AUACUUACCUUGUUGCGGUUUCCAGGCUCCAGAAUCUGGGAACCUGCCUUGAUCAGCGCAUUGCACAGCGUGGACUGGUUGGGGUAUUGGCUUCGCUUCGGUGAUCCCAGCGGCACAAUUUUUGCUUGCGGCCUUUCACUUUUCAUUGAUCUC